GUUGCAGUUAAAAAGCUCGUAGUUGGAUUUCGGAACCGGCCGAUUGGUCCGUCCUCUGGAUCGUGUACUGAUCGGUCUGUUCUUCUUCGCGAAGACCGCGUGUGCUCUUAACUGAGUGGGCGUGGGAUUCGCGACGUUUACUUUGAAAAAAUUAGAGUGUUCAAAGCAGGCAGUCGCUUGAAUAUCUCAGCAUGGAAUAAUAGAAUAGGACUUUGGUCUUAUUUUGUUGGUUUCCGAGACCGAAGUAAUGAUUAAUAGGGACAGUUGGGGGCAUUCGUAUUUCAUUGUCAGAGAUGAAAUUCUUGGAUUUAUGAAAGACGAACUUCUGCGAAAGCAUUUGCCAAGGAUGUUUUCAUUAAUCAAGAACGAAAGUUGGAGGCUCGAAGACGAUCAGAUACCGUCCUAGUUCCAACCAUAAACGAUGCCGUCUGCGGAUCGGAGGUCGCUCAUGUAAGGCUCCUUCGGCACGCUAUGAGUAAAUCAAAGACUUCGGGUUCCGGGGGGAGUAUGUUCGCAAGAAUGAAACUUAAAGGAAUUGACGGAAGGGCACCACCAGGAGUGGAACCUGCGGUUUAAUUUGACUC
rnacentral:rRNA from 1 species